GCUGAGUUUGCAUGGAGGGGCGAGGAAAAAGUUUCCUCCAGGUGUCGCGGGCGGGGGUGGCGGGGUGGGGGCGCGGGGGAACCAUGUGGACGUGGUCCGAAGGGCGACUGGCCGUCGGAGCCGAGAAAGGUGUUGGGUGAGGCUAUAAAUGCCUAAUUUGUUCCUCAGCCUCAAGAAGCUUGGAGGAUUGUGGAAUAAACAAGUUGACAAAGAGGCUGCUGCACAAGUGUGCGUGAGAGACACCUAAAGUCAUCUGGAGUCAAGGAAGUCUUGAAGAAGUGAUGGAAUUUGUCAGGAGGAGGAGAGAAGUAUGUUAAAAGUCACAACAUAGGCAGAAAUCUCCAGAUGAAAGUAGUGUAUUGUGGAGCAGGGGUAGGGGGAGGUGGCAAGUCCAGUAGAAUGAAUGCAUCGAAUAAAAAACGCACAUGUUCCAGAAGAGGCUGCAGAGGUGGGUGAGCAGGAAACAGAUCCUGUGAAGAUGCUAAGCUUUUACAGUGAUGAGUUGUAGCCAUGGAAAGGUUUUUUUAAAAUCAAGAGUGUCCAUGUUGUACAUGAUGUUAAUUAGUGUUCUGGGCGUGGGGGAUGAGGGGGUGAGCAGAACAGCAAACAUCAAGAAAAUUCUAAAAGUUUUUAUUUUCCUCUUGAAUAAUCAUUUACAAAGGAAUAACUGAGCAAGUAAAAGCAAUACAAGCUGUGACUAUCCAAACAAAGCACAGAUGGAAGAUAACAUUUCCAGAUUAUAUUAGCAAGUAGUAUAAUAAUAUUAAAAGCAAUGUAAAGCAUAAUUAUCAUUUCUCAUAUAAACACUGUCAUAUAUAGUAGAAUUGUUUCAGAUUAUACAUUCUUGCAAUGGUCUUACUAGCUCCUAAAACUGCCUCAGUACAUGGUAGGACCUCAAAAUUAUGUACUAAAUGAAUAAAUAUUUUUUGAAAGUUUCUCUGAUGUACCUUUUAAUACUCGGCUUUUUUCCCCACUAUCACAUUUACUACAGCCCAACUCAUAAAAACUCACAUCCUCUCCAUUCAAAUCCUGGUGUCUUCCAGGUUACCUCACGUAUUUUCAGGAAGGCAAGUCGAUUUUCAUUCCCUAGUUUUCACCUUAUCUCAGCACUUCUCCAGUUGUAUCAGAGUCCUUGAGAAUUGUACCACCAGCCCCACAUAGCUGGUAAUUCCCUCAGCCGCUUCAGAGCAUGUCGUACCUUCCACUAUGGUGAGCGUUGACCAUCUUGACUGUUUCACAUCUCUCUCCUUGCCUAGUCUGAGGCUCUUCAUCUUUGUAUUUCUGAUACCAAAAGCAAUGCCUGUCUAAUGGGAAGAACACUGGGUUAAUUAUGGAGAAGACUGAAAGCACCUGCCAUUCAUGCAUCAUUCAUGCAUUCUGGUGGGGGGGCUUUGUGAAGAGCAAUGAGAUAUUACAUGUGAAGUUUUACAUGCUGCUUGGCGCAUGGCAAACAUGAUUGGUACUACGACAAAAGCAAAUUCUUGGGCGAAGAUCAGAGUCAGAUGUUAUGAGCAUAAUCUACUAGCAUUCCUACACAGUGCCUUUCUGUUCAGGCUAAAGGAUAAGAUAAUUUUUAUCCCUGAAAAUGUCACUUCAGGUGUAGGUGGAAUGAU
ensembl:lncRNA